UACGGGGGGGGCAAGCGUUGUUCGGAAUUACUGGGCGUAAAGGGCUCGUAGGCGGCCAACUAAGUCGGACGUGAAAUCCCUCGGCUCAACCGGGGAACUGCGUCCGAUACUGGAUGGCUCGAGUUCGGGAGAGGGAUGCGGAAUUCCAGGUGUAGCGGUGAAAUGCGUAGAUAUCUGGAGGAACACCGGUGGCGAAGGCGGCAUCCUGGACCGAUACUGACGCUGAGGAGCGAAAGCCAGGGGAGCAAACGGG
rnacentral:rRNA from 1 species